rnacentral:rRNA from 1 species
CCUACGGGAGGCAGCAGUAGGGAAUAUUGCUCAAUGGGGGAAACCCUGAAGCAGCAACGCCGCGUGAAGGAUGAAGGUUUUAGGAUUGUAAACUCCUUUUGUUAGAGAAGAUUAUGACGGUAUCUAACGAAUAAGCACCGGCUAACUCCGUGCCAGCAGCCGCGGUAAUACGGAGGGUGCAAGCGUUAAUCGGAAUCACUGGGCGUAAAGAGUGCGUAGGCGGGGUAAUAAGUCAGAUGUGAAAUCCUGUAGCUUAACUACAGAACUGCAUUUGAAACUGUUACUCUGGAGUGUGGGAGAGGUAGGUGGAAUUCGUGGUGUAGGGGUAAAAUGCGUAGAGAUCAAGAGGAAUUCUCAUUGCGAAGGCGACCUGCUGGAACAUUACUGACGCUGAUGCACGAAAGCGUGGGGAGCAAACAGGAUUAGAUACCCUAGUAGUC